UCUUGCCCAGGACUGAUGAAACCCUCACAGACCCUGUCCCUCACCUGUGCUGUCUCCGGGGGCUCUGUAACCAGCAGUUACUACUGGAAUUGGAUCUGCCCACGCCCUGGGGAAGGGUUGGAGUGGAUGGGGUACUGGACAGGGAGUACAAGCUACAAUCUGCUUUCCAAGGCCGAAUCUCCAUCACUGCUGACAUGUCCAGGAACCAUUUCUCCCUGAAGCUGAGUUCUGUGACCACCGAGGACACAGCCGUGUAUUACUGUGCAAGAGACAGUGAGAGAAAGUCAGUGUGA